UACGUAGGGUGCAAGCGUUGUUCGGAAUUACUGGGCGUAAAGCGCGCGUAGGCGGUUUUGCAAGCCAGAGGUGAAAUGCCUAGCUCAACUUAGGAAUUGCCUUUGGGACUGCGAGGCUUUGAGGACGGGAGAGGUGAGUGGAAUUCCCAGUGUAGAGGUGAAAAUUCGUAGAUAUUGGGAAGAACACCGGUGGCGAAGGCGGCUCACUGGCCCGUUUCUGACGCUGCAGCGCGAAAAGCGUGGGGGAUCAAAACAGG
rnacentral:rRNA from 1 species